rnacentral:tRNA from 1 species
GCACUACUGGUUUAGUGGUAGAAUGGUAGCUUCCCAAGCUUUUGGUCCGGGUUCGAUUCCCGGGUAGUGCA